GGCCUGUGUGUGUUUCUGGAGUUGGAGAACGAGUGGAGAGCCCUGAAGGCGGGGCUGGCAUAACUGCAGGUGCAUCGCUCUCCGCUGCCACCACACGGGGCUGCACAGCCUGCAGACGCUCUGCCGCGAGCCCUCUUCAGCAGACCAGCUGUUGGAGGGCUGCGAGGACUUGCACCCCUGACUUUGUCAGAGCCAGAGGCGCACAUCCGCUGCUCUCGGCCAUGUCUCCAGGAUCCGUGUCAGCCGGGGGGUCCCGAGGCCGGGAAUCAGCCUGCUGGGCAUUGUUGGGUUCUGCAGACAGAAUCCCAGCUGAUGAAGCUGUGGUCCUCGGAUGUGGGAGCUAAAUACAACCUGAAGUCUGCACUGACCCCUGUGUGAAUGCAUCCUGCGUGCAGACAUGACCAGGAAGAAGAGGCAGUGAGACAACUGCUGGGCGCCCUGGACAUCUGGGAGCACAUGAAACAGGAGCAAGCCGCACCCAGCUCGAGAUGGCCACGCAGGCAGCAGGUUCAAAGCAGAGCAGUUCUGGAAAUGCGCAGGUUUGCAGACGCUGCAAACACAGGACGGCCGAGGCAUCAGCACCUGCCGCUGUGUUUGCUCUUGGCCCAGUCUCAGGAGGAAAUGCUGACUGCAAGACAUCGUGCAAGCCUCCUGCGGGGCUGGGGCUCACAGAGGAACCUCUUGGGAGAAUCGCCUGGGGAGGGACACUGGGGGCUCCUGCGUGGGGAUGCGGAGGCUCCAAGUGUCCCCUCUGGGCAGGGGUGGCCGUCAGCCUGGGCUCCGGAGUGCCACCAGAGACAGCGCCUGCUGGUGCUUCGCAGAGCGCCGAGCACGGGCUAGACUUUGCAGCUGAAUCAGUCCCUAGCCCCACUGAGCCCAGCCCACGUCUGUUUGGAGGAGGACAUGUGAGAACACGGCCUACACCCCAACAGGGGGUCUGCCCGACUGCACCCACAGCUGUGCACGCUCAUGGCUGCUGUUAAAAUGCGCACACACCCAGUGAGGAGAUGAGCAGUUGAUCCUGUGCUUCGAGAGGUGGAGCAAGGUCAGCUGUGGAGAUGACAGGCCUUGGCCAUGAGUUUGCUUGCAGGCAGCCCAGAUGGUCACAUCAUCAAGUUGUGCUUACCUUACGCUCGGUGUUGGUGCAGACCACUCUGGAAACAGGCUGUUCCCAAAUCCAGGUCUGGCCGUGAUGGGAGGUAGUGCUGGACAGAGCAGUUCUCGCGGAGAGUUGAGGCAAGGUGUAUGCCCACUGAGGGGUGUGCCGAGGUACAGUCAAGUGAACACUUGAGGAAAAAUUAACACGUGCCUUCUGCAUUCUGUCAUUUUAAAAGAAUUAAAGCAGCAAAAACAUUGCAAAAGUCCAUCAUUCUCAUAAACAUGAAAAAAAUUUUUAAUAAAGAUUUAUUUGAGAGGAAGAUUUAGAGAGAG
rnacentral:lncRNA from 1 species